GACGAACGCUGGCGGCGUGCUUAACACAUGCAAGUCGAGCGGGGAUGAUGUUAGCACUGAUCGGUCAUUGAUGAUCCAUAAUUGAGACACACAUUGGGUAGAUAGUAGAAGGUGUGGUGUUGUGGGGCAGGGAGCCUGGGGUUGUGGAUUGGGAUGAAGGAUGAGUGCUGACAGCAUUCUAGCGGCGGACGGGUGAGUAACGCGUGAACAAUCUGUCUCAGACAGGGGGAUAACACCUGGAAACAGGUGCUAAUACCGCAUAAGACCACGUUGUCGCAUGGCAAUGGGGUAAAAGGAGCAAUCCGGUCUGAGGUGAGUUCGCGUCUGAUUAGCUAGUUGGUGAGGUAAUGGCCCACCAAGGCGACGAUCAGUAGCCGACCUGAGAGGGUGAUCGGCCACACUGGAACUGAGAACGGUCCAGACUCCUACGGGAGGCAGCAGUGGGGAAUAUUGGGCAAUGGGCGAAAGCCUGACCCAGCAACGCCGCGUGAGGGAAGAAGGUUUUCGGAUUGUAAACCUCUGUCCUCAGGGAAGAAGGAAGUGACGGUACCUGAGGAGGAAGCCCCGGCUAACUACGUGCCAGCAGCCGCGGUAAUACGUAGGGGGCGAGCGUUGUCCGGAAUGACUGGGCGUAAAGGGCGCGUAGGCGGCCUGAUAAGUUUGGAGUGAAAGUCCUGCUUUCAAGGUGGGAAUUGCUUUGAAAACUGUCGGGCUUGAGUGCGGAAGAGGCAAGUGGAAUUCCCAGUGUAGCGGUGAAAUGCGUAGAGAUUGGGAAGAACACCAGUGGCGAAGGCGACUUGCUGGGCCGUAACUGACGCUGAUGCGCGAAAGCGUGGGGAGCGAACAGGAUUAGAUACCCUGGUAGUCCACGCUGUAAACGAUGAAUGCUAGGUGUAGGGGGUAUCGACCCCUCCUGUGCCGGAGUUAACACAAUAAGCAUUCCGCCUGGGGAGUACGGCCGCAAGGUUG
rnacentral:rRNA from 1 species